ensembl:lncRNA
ACCCAAAGGUGUUUUAGCUUAAUGCUCAUUACCUGGGAGGCAGGGCUCCUUAGAGGUGGGCUAUUUAUGUUUACAGGCAACAUCUCUUUAGUGAUUAACCUGUAAUAGAAUACAAAGGUUCUACUCUGUUACAGCUGGGCGGAGAACCUCCACACUGACCCCUCACUCUGCCUGAGGACCAGGCUGGGUUCCUGUGGCCCAGUCUCCAGGUACCUGUGCAGAUGGGAGAGGCUGCAGCCCAAGGGCAGCUCCCGAGUGAGGUGAAGCUGAGUGGCAGGAGCCUGCUCAGUGAUGACUCAACCCUACAAGGGCUCCAGGAGCAUGGGAGAUGGCACUGUAAAUAUGAGACUAACACAGCAUGAAUAUUCCAGCCUAUGAGGCUUCCAGCCAGGGGUGAAAUGCCUAUUAAGGACAUCAGCCCUUGGUUCCAGGGAAGCAAGGGGAGAUCUGGGUCAGACCUAGGCUCAGUUUUGCCCCCCACCCCCCGCCCCACCACAACAAGCAGCAAAUGUGAAGGUGGAUACUUCACAUUUGGUAGAGGAGGGUAGCCAGACACCUGCUGCUGCUGCUGCUGCUGCUAAGUGGCUUCAGUCGUGUCUGACUCUAUGUGACCCCAUAGACGGCAGCCCACCAGGCUCCCUGGUCCCUGGGAUUCUCCAGGCAAGAACACUGGAGUGGGUUGCCAUUUCCUUCUCCAAUGCAUGAAAGUGAAAAGUGAAAGGGAAGUUGCUCAGUUGUGUCCGACUCUUCGAGACCCCAUGGACUGCAGCCCACCAGGCUCCUCCAUCCAUGGGAUUUUCCAGGCAAGAGUACUGGAGUGGGGUGCCAUUGCCUUCUCCGAGCCAGACACCUGGACUACUGAAAAUUCUCCCUCUCCUCCAAUGCAAUACAACGUCAUGAGCUGGUGGAUGACUUAGAAAUACAAAGCAGAAAGAGGGUUUAGUUAUUCUUCAGAUAUCUGGCCCCAUUUCUUCCUAAAACAUGGAAGGCCAAGCCAUCAUAAUAGGGUUCAGAUCUGCCCCAGGGGCCAAGUCAUACUUGAGCCAAAACAUAAUAAAAACCUGUCCAUGAAUCAAAUUCUCCGUAUCAGUAUUCUAUCUCCAACCAGAUUAUCAAGGAGUGCUUGCUGAACAGCCCCUGUAAUC